AAUAAGUCUGGUAAAGAAGCAUUCUUCCUCAUAAAAUAACCACAACAGAAAUGUUGCAUUACCAGGCUUUAAGUGUUCAUUUGAUGACUAUUACUAGUUGGGCGCCCACAUGCGGAUCUUUCUGAGUGGCAUCUUGGAUACCAUAUGAUGAUGACAAAAUACAUUCAUCCAGAAAUAUAUGAAAAUGACAUACACUUGCAUCAUCCUUUUCUCAUGUCCAAUUCUACUACAUGUUUCCUAGAACUCUUGACUGGCAAGUUUAGGUGUUCGUUUAACAACAAUUCUAGUUGGCCAACCAAGUGCAUGUCUCGUUGAAGUGAUGUUCUGAGUUGUUUGGAGUAUAAUGCAACAUUUAGACAUUUAGUACACAUAACCAGGUAAAAAUAUGACCAUUGUUUUGUGCUUUUCAGGUAGUAGAGAAAUUUGCUUGAUCGGAGAACGAAAAACAAAGAGCAUUUCACCUCAAAAAAAUUCUUGUUUUGUUUUUUCAAAAUGCUUCCUAAGUAGUACAUGACAUAAACUAGUAAGCACAUCAAAUUUUGAUUAAUUAACAUAUAAACAGACUCAGUAGUUGAUUAGAACUAAAAUGGGUUUUCAUUAGAUGGGCUUGUCGACUAACUCACUCUAAGUGCCCAGAUAAGAUACAAUAACAGUGGUAAUUGCAGUAACUUGAUAAUGGGACUUGACUGCUAUACAUGAGAAAGGAAUUUCCUGGGCCUAUGCAUUUUUUUUUAAAAUAAGAUAAAAGAAAUGAAAAAACAUAAACACAUGGAGAAUGAACGAAAGAACAACGAAAGGCAACUCAAACAAAAGACAUCCCAUGCAGGAACUUUCUCGCUGGAAAGUAUCGUCACUGUGAACACAUUAAACAUGGGAUAGAGAAUCUCUACACCCAAGUGAACUACCAGCUUGUUAAUAACUUAAUAGCUAAAUUCAAUUCCCAUAUCAGUAAAACCUACAGAAGAAUUAUUGCUUUGGGGAAGGUGCACUAGUGCAGUGAACCAUAAUGAAACAAUAUCACCAAGAGCACACUAUGAACAACAAAUACAAACGGGGAUAAAGAAAUGUAGGGAUCAACCAAUGUUCAAAAGCCGUGGAUAAAAGAAGCUAUUAUAGUGCAAAAAACGCAAAUAAAUAA